GAGUGAACGCGUAGCGGGAGGGCUUAACACAUGCAAGUCGAGGGGGUAAAAUGGUAGCAAUACUAUGAGACCCGGGAACGGGUGCGUAACGCGUAUGCAACUUACCUUAUGCAGGGGGAUAGCCCGUGGAAACGCGGAUUAAUAUCCCAUAGAUCAGUAAUAUCGCAUGGUAUAACUGGUAAAACUCAGGUGGCAUAAGAUGGGCAUGCGUCUGAUUAGCUAGUUGGUAGGGUAACGGCCUACCAAGGCGACGAUCAGUAGGGGUUCUGAGAGGAUUAACCCCCACACUGGUACUGAGACACGGACCAGACUCCUACGGGAGGCAGCAGUGAGGAAUAUUGGUCAAUGGGCGCAAGCCUGAACCAGCCAUCCCGCGUGAAGGAAGAAGGCCCUACGGGUUGUAAACUUCUUUUCUGUUUGAAGAAUAAGCUCGUCGAGACGAGUGAUGCCGGUAGGACAGGAAUAAGCAUCGGCUAACUCCGUG
rnacentral:rRNA from 1 species